rnacentral:rRNA from 1 species
UACGUGGGAGGCGAGCGUUGUCCGGAAUCACUGGGCGUAAAGCGCGUGUAGGCGGUGCGGGAAGUCUGCUGUGAAAGCGCCUGGCUUAACUGGGCGAGGUCGGCGGAAACUCUCGCACUAGAGGCCGGUAGAGGGGGGUGGAAUUCCCGGUGUAGUGGUGAAAUGCGUAGAGCUCGGGAGGAACACCCGUGGCGUAGGCGGCCCCCUGGGCCGCGCCUGACGCUGAGACGCGAAAGCGUGGGGAGCGAACGGG